rnacentral:rRNA from 1 species
AGCUCCAGUAGCGUAUAUUAAAGUUGUUGCAUUUAAAAAGCUCGUAGUUGGUGUUUCACUAACCACGCCUGGGAGCUUUGCUACACGGGAGGUGGAGAGUUGAUAAUUGGUCUUACGGCCAUUGACACUGUGAAUAAAUUAGAGUGAUCCAAACAGGUUCGGCCUGAAUGCUUCAGCAUGGUAUGGGUUCUCGGCUACGUCGGCUUGUUGCAUUAUUGCUGCGAGUGUGUGCGGAGUAAAGGUUAAUAGAGAUGGAUGAUGGAAUUCGUAUUGAGUUGUUAGAGGUGAAAUUCUUGGACCAACUCAAGACGGUCUGAAGCGAAAGCUCUUUCCACAGACGCUCUUA